AGCUGCCUCAGUAGCCCAAUCGUUAGGUAUGUUGCCUUUCCUUGUGAGAACGUUGGUUCGACUCCGCUUGCCGACAAUUUCAUAGGAAAAGUUGCAGAUCGAGCUGUUGGGUUACCCGGGAGGGGGGCGGCGCAAUUUUUAAAAUUUUUUUUUUUUU
rnacentral:sRNA from 1 species